rnacentral:miRNA from 1 species
GGAGGAUUGCUUGAGUCCAGGAGUUUAAGGGUGUGGUGAGCUGUGAUUGCACUACUGCACUCCAGCCUGAGUGACAGAGCAAGACCCUGUCUCA